CUGGGUACCAAGACAAGGUGAUUUUGACGACUUGCUGUGUCUACACCUAGGAGAAAUAUGGAGGAUACUGAACAAUGAAGAACUUGAAAAAAAGAGAACUUGAAGUCAAAGGGAGAGGAAGGAGUGAAGAAAGGCAUGGAUACUGAACAUCCCACAAAAUUCACAAGAGAAGACUUGGAAAAGACAUUCCCCAAGAUCAGCAGAAAAGAUCCGAGUUUUGUUAGGAGAUUGUCAGCAAGAUGCAAUCUGUAAAGUUUCCUAGGUCGGGAGCGAUGGGAUAAUCAGAAGAAUUUGAAGUU